GUUCGCUUGGCCUAGUGGUUAGGGCAUAUGCUUUACAUAGAUGGCUUCAAACCUAUCAAAAAUGAAUCGCAUAGGAUCGCAGGUUCGAUCCCUGCAGUGAACA